rnacentral:rRNA from 1 species
GAUGAACGCUGGCGGCGUGCCUAAUACAUGCAAGUCGAGCGAACAGACGAGGAGCUUGCUCCUCUUCCGUUAGCGGCGGACGGGUGAGUAACACGUGGAUAACCUACCUAUAAGACUGGGAUAACUUCGGGAAACCGGAGCUAAUACCGGAUAAUAUAUUGAACCGCAUGGUUCAAUAGUGAAAGACGGUUUUGCUGUCACUUAUAGAUGUAUCCGCGCCGCAUUAGCUAGUUGGUAAGGUAACGGCUUACCAAGGCAACGAUGCGUAGCCGACCUGAGAGGGUGAUCGGCCACACUGGAACUGAGACACGGUCCAGACUCCUACGGGAGGCAGCAGUAGGGAAUCUUCCGCAAAGGGCGAAAGCCUGACGGAGCAACGCCGCGUGAGUGAUGAAGGUCUUCGGAUCGUAAAACUCUGUUAUUAGGGAAGAACAAAUGUGUAAGUAACUAUGCACGUCUUGACGGUACCUAAUCAGAAAGCCACGGCUAACUACGUG